rnacentral:rRNA from 1 species
AGAGUUUGAUCAUGGCUCAGGACGAACGCUGGCGGCGUGCCUAAUACAUGCAAGUCGAGCGAAUCACUUCGGUGGUUAGCGGCGGACGGGUGAGUAACACGUGGGCAACCUGCCUGUAAGACUGGGAUAACACCGGGAAACCGGUGCUAAUACCGGAUAAUCCUUUUCCUCUCAUGAGGGAAAGCUGAAAGUCGGUUUAGGCUGACACUUACAGAUGGGCCCGCGGCGCAUUAGCUAGUUGGUGAGGUAACGGCUCACCAAGGCGACGAUGCGUAGCCGACCUGAGAGGGUGAUCGGCCACACUGGGACUGAGACACGGCCCAGACUCCUACGGGAGGCAGCAGUAGGGAAUCUUCCACAAUGGACGAAAGUCUGAUGGAGCAACGCCGCGUGAGCGAUGAAGACCUUCGGGUCGUAAAGCUCUGUUGUUAGGGAAGAACAAGUACCGGAGUAACUGCCGGUACCUUGACGGUACCUAACCAGAAAGCCACGGCUAACUACGUGCCAGCAGCCGCGGUAAUACGUAGGUGGCAAGCGUUGUCCGGAAUUAUUGGGCGUAAAGCGCGCGCAGGCGGUCCCUUAAGUCUGAUGUGAAAGCCCACGGCUCAACCGUGGAGGGUCAUUGGAAACUGGGGGGCUUGAGUGCAGAAGAGGAAAGCGGAAUUCCACGUGUAGCGGUGAAAUGCGUAGAGAUGUGGAGGAACACCAGUGGCGAAGGCGGCUUUCUGGUCUGUAACUGACGCUGAGGCGCGAAAGCGUGGGGAGCAAACAGGAUUAGAUACCCUGGUAGUCCACGCCGUAAACGAUGAGUGCUAAGUGUUAGGGGGUUUCCGCCCCUUAGUGCUGCAGCUAACGCAUUAAGCACUCCGCCUGGGGAGUACGGCCGCAAGGCUGAAACUCAAAGGGAAUUUG